CUAGCUACAGGCUUAACACAUGCAAGUCGAGGGGCAGCAUGGUCUUAGCUUGCUAAGGCCGAUGGCGACCGGCGCACGGGUGAGUAACACGUAUCCAACCUGCCGUCUACUCUUGGACAGCCUUCUGAAAGGAAGAUUAAUACAAGAUGGCAUCAUGAGUCCGCAUGUUCACAUGAUUAAAGGUAUUCCGGUAGACGAUGGGGAUGCGUUCCAUUAGAUAGUAGGCGGGGUAACGGCCCACCUAGUCUUCGAUGGAUAGGGGUUCUGAGAGGAAGGUCCCCCACAUUGGAACUGAGACACGGUCCAAACUCCUACGGGAGGCAGCAGUGAGGAAUAUUGGUCAAUGGGCGAGAGCCUGAACCAGCCAAGUAGCGUGAAGGAUGACUGCCCUAUGGGUUGUAAACUUCUUUUAUAAAGGAAUAAAGUCGGGUAUGGAUACCCGUUUGCAUGUACUUUAUGAAUAAGGAUCGGCUGACUCCGUGCCAGCAGCCGCGGUAAUACGGAGGAUCCGAGCGUUAUCCGGAUUUAUUGGGUUUAAAGGGAGCGUAGAUGGAUGUUUAAGUCAGUUGUGAAAGUUUGCGGCUCAACCGUAAAAUUGCAGUUGAUACUGGAUAUCUUGAGUGCAGUUGAGGCAGGCGGAAUUCGUGGUGUAGCGGUGAAAUGCUUAGAUAUCACGAAGAACUCCGAUUGCGAAGGCAGCCUGCUAAGCUGCAACUGACAUUGAGGCUCGAAAGUGUGGGUAUCAAACAGGAUUAGAUACCCUGGUAGUCCACACGGUAAACGAUGAAUACUCGCUGUUUGCGAUAUACUGCAAGCGGCCAAGCGAAAGCGUUAAGUAUUCCACCUGGGGAGUACGCCGGCAACGGUGAAACUCAAAGGAAUUGACGGGGGCCCGCACAAGCGGAGGAACAUGUGGUUUAAUUCGAUGAUACGCGAGGAACCUUACCCGGGCUUAAAUUGCAGAUGAAUUACGGUGAAAGCCGUAAGCCGCAAGGCAUCUGUGAAGGUGCUGCAUGGUUGUCGUCAGCUCGUGCCGUGAGGUGUCGGCUUAAGUGCCAUAACGAGCGCAACCCUUGUUGUCAGUUACUAACAGGUUCCGCUGAGGACUCUGACAAGACUGCCAUCGUAAGAUGUGAGGAAGGUGGGGAUGACGUCAAAUCAGCACGGCCCUUACGUCCGGGGCUACACACGUGUUACAAUGGGGGGUACAGAGGGCCGCUACCACGCGAGUGGAUGCCAAUCCCCAAAACCUCUCUCAGUUCGGACUGGAGUCUGCAACCCGACUCCACGAAGCUGGAUUCGCUAGUAAUCGCGCAUCAGCCACGGCGCGGUGAAUACGUUCCCGGGCCUUGUACACACCGCCCGUCAAGCCAUGGGAGCCGGGGGUACCUGAAGUGCGUAACCGCGAGGAGCGCCCUAGGGUAAAACUGGUGACUGGGGC
rnacentral:rRNA from 1 species